AUCCAGCUGACGAGUCCCAAAUAGGACGAAACAUGCGUCAAACUGAAU
rnacentral:hammerhead_ribozyme from 1 species